rnacentral:rRNA from 1 species
GACGAACGCUGGCGGCGUGCUUAACACAUGCAAGUCGAACGGAAAGGCCCUGCUUUUGUGGGGUGCUCGAGUGGCGAACGGGUGAGUAACACGUGAGUAACCUGCCCUUGACUUUGGGAUAACUUCAGGAAACUGGGGCUAAUACCGGAUGAGCUCCUGCUGCAUGGUGGGGGUUGGAAAGUUUCGGCGGUUGGGGAUGGACUCGCGGCUUAUCAGCUUGUUGGUGGGGUAGUGGCUUACCAAGGCUUUGACGGGUAGCCGGCCUGAGAGGGUGACCGGCCACAUUGGGACUGAGAUACGGCCCAGACUCCUACGGGAGGCAGCAGUGGGGAAUAUUGCACAAUGGGCGGAAGCCUGAUGCAGCAACGCCGCGUGCGGGAUGACGGCCUUCGGGUUGUAAACCGCUUUCGCCUGUGACGAAGCGUGAGUGACGGUAAUGGGUAAAGAAGCACCGGCUAACUACGUG